GCAUAACACCGAAGCGGCGGACUAAUCUAUAUUAGUGGUAGGGGAGCUUUCCCCGCAGCGGAGAAGCCGAGAGGGCGACCCUCGGUGGAGCGCGGGGAAGUGAGAAUGCUGGCAUGAGUAACGAGAGCGGCGCGAGAAACGCCGCCGCCGUAAGCCUAAGGGUUCCUGGGCAAGGCUAAUCCUCCCAGGGUCAGUCGGGAGCUAAGGCGAGGCCGAGAGGCGUAGCCGAUGCGCAACAGGCGGACAUUCCUGUACCGCCUGCGGACCGCUAUCACCGACGGGGUGACGGAGAAGGGUAGCCGAGCGGGGUUCUGGACGUCCCCGUGAAAGCGCGUAGGGAGCAUCGCAUGGAAAUCAGCGGCGCACGUAUCCUGAGACGCGAGACGAAAGCUUAUGCUGAAGUCGGCGAGCCCAUGCUUCCGAGAAAAACCUCUAGGAAGGGACGCAGGCGCCCGUACCAAAACCGACACAGGUGGGCAGGUAGAGCAUACCGAGGCGAUCGGGAGAACCAUGGUUAAGGAACUCGGCAUACUGACUCCGUAACUUCGGGAGAAGGAGUGCCCCUGGCGGUGGAGGGACUAGCUCCCCGAGCGGCCGGGGGUCGCAGCGAAACGGCCCAAGCGACUGUUUAUCAAAAACACAGGACUCUGCAAAGCCGUAAGGCGACGUAUAGGGUCUGACGCCUGCCCGGUGCUGGAAGGUUACGCGGAUGGGUCAGCCGAAAGGCGAAGCUCUGAAGCCAAGCCCCAGUAAACGGCGGCCGUAACUAUAACGGUCCUAAGGUAGCGAAAUUCCUUGUCGGGUAAGUUCCGACCUGCACGAAUGGCGUAACGAUUUGGGCGCUGUCUCAACCAUGGACCCGGUGAAAUUGUAUUAUUCGUGAAGAUGCGAAUUACCUGCGGAAGGACGGAAAGACCCCGUGAACCUUUACUGCAGCUUGACAUUGAUCGUUGGCUCGGCGCGUAGAGGAUAGGCAGGAGGCUGCGAAGCCCGGGCGCCAGCCCGGGCGGAGCCGACCUUGGAAUACUGCCCUCGUCGCGUCGGCGAUCUAACCCCCGGCCGUGAUCCGGCGGGGGGACCGUGUCAGGCGGGUAGUUUGACUGGGGCGGUCGCCUCCCAAAACGUAACGGAGGCGCGCAAAGGUCCGCUCAGAACGGUCGGCAACCGUUCGCAGAGCGCAAGAGUACAAGCGGGCUUGACUGCGAGGCCCACAAGCCGAGCAGAGACGAAAGUCGGUUCUAGUGAUCCGGCGGCACAGAGUGGAAUGGCCGUCGCUCAACGGAUAAAAGGUACUCCGGGGAUAACAGGCUGAUCUUGCCCAAGAGUCCACAUCGACGGCAAGGUUUGGCACCUCGAUGUCGGCUCAUCGCAUCCUGGGGCUGAAGUCGGUCCCAAGGGUAUGGCUGUUCGCCAUUUAAAGCGGUACGCGAGCUGGGUUCAGAACGUCGUGAGACAGUUCGGUCCCUAUCCUCCGCAGGCGCAAGAGGAUUGAGGAGGUCUGCCCCUAGUACGAGAGGACCGGGGUGGACGGACCUCUGGUGCAGCAGUUGUCGACCAACGGCACGGCUGCCUAGCUACGUCCGGCACGGAUAACCGCUGAAAGCAUCUAAGUGGGAAGCCGUCUCCAAGAUGAGUCCUCUUUCCGGUAAGGGCCCAGGCAGAACACCUGGUCGAUAGGCCGCAGGUGCAAGGCGUGCGAGCGCCUCAGCCGAGCGGUACUAAUAGCCCGAGCUCUUCUUCGCA
rnacentral:rRNA from 1 species